rnacentral:rRNA from 1 species
AAACUUAAAUGAAUUGACGGGGACCCGCACAAGCGGUGGAUGAUGUGGUUUAAUUCGAUGCAACGCGAAAACCUUACCCACCUUUGACAUGUACGGAAGCCUUUGGAGACAGAGGCGUGCUCGAAAGAGAGCCGUAACACAGGUGCUGCAUGGCUGUCGUCAGCUCGUGUCGUGAGAUGUUGGGUUAAGUCCCGCAACGAGCGCAACCCUUGUCAUUAGUUGCUACAUUCAGUUGGGCACUCUAAUGAGACUGCCGGUGACAAACCGGAGGAAGGUGGGGAUGACGUCAAGUCCUCAUGGCCCUUAUAGGUGGGGCUACACACGUCAUACAAUGGCUGGUACAGAGGGUUGCCAACCCGCGAGGGGAGCCAAUCCCAUAAAGCCAGUCGUAGUCCGGAUCGUAGUCUGCAACUCGACUACGUGAAGUCGGAAUCGCUAGUAAUCGCGGAUCAGAAUGUCGCGGUGAAUACGUUCCCGGGUCUUGUACACACCGCCCGUCACACCAUGG